GGUGGCUCAGCAUGCCACGGUGAAUACGUUCUCGGGCCUUGUACACACCGCCCGUCACACCAUGGAAGUGAUUUAUAUCAGAAAUAGUAAAAUUAACUAUUUUUUAGAAGUUUUAUUAUUAAGGUAUAUUUCAUGACUAGGGUGAAGUCGUAACAAGGUACCCGA
rnacentral:rRNA from 1 species